rnacentral:lncRNA from 1 species
UAUAUUAUUAGAUAAAUUCUAAUAAUCUUGUAUAUUCCAUCUAUAAAGGAUUAUAAAUUGAGAAGAAUGAAUAAUAAUAGAAAUAAGGGCAUAUGAUAAUACAUUUUGAGUUAUGCACAUUAAUAAUAUUGAGAAGGCAAAGACUGACAUAUGGUCAUAGUGAUGGUGCACAUUUGUUCGAAUUUUUUGUUUAAUUUCAAAAAUAUUUCUUUCUGCCCAUGAUGGUCAUUUUCCACAGCAUCAUGCGAAUUUAGACUGGUCUCAACCUUUUUAAUCUGAGUUUGGGCAAAUUCAAGAGUUGCAAUGAUUUCUGUACGAUUGUGUUUUCCCUCAGAGAUGAUUUUUUCUAGCUUCUUGAUGAUUACUGUAUAACACUCAAUGAAAUCACAUUUUGUAUGAUUAUGGAACACUUUAUUAUGUCUCUCCAGAAAAUCCGAGGCCAUAGUCUUCAUGAUUGAGAUAGCGAUUUGGGAAACUUGGGUUAUGUUCGUGACAUCUUUGGAUAAAGGGGAGGAUUCGAAUGCCUCCAUGCACACAUUAAAAUAUUGAGUUUUCUUGCAUGUUUCCUCGAUGAACGGAUUUUCAACUUUAGUCGGCUCAUCAUAUUGCAAAUUUGAAUACCCAUAUGAGAGUUGGGUGGCGAGGAGAAGAGAGAAGACGAUGAAAUGAAUGAUAAGAGAAUUACAUUUGAAAGAAGCCAUUGUAUUAUGCUAUGUGUUGAUGUGAUGGUGGAUUCUUUUGUUUUUAACAGAAGCAAGUAUUUGUAAUGCGAAACAAAGAACUAUUUUAGGGGUUUUCUCUUAAUUGGGAAAUGCUAUUGGUGGUGUGUGUGUAUAGGAAAAUAUACUCAAUUGGGUGCAUUUGUUAAAAACUCUUAUCCUAACUUCUCCAAAUCUAUUUCAUCAUUGUGGCAUUGUUAGAACAUAUGUUUUCUAAAUAUUGGAAUGUCUAUCUCUUUCAAUAUUAUGAUGUCUGAAAAAGGAUAGCUUUAACUGAAAUACAAAGGAAAUAUUUAGUUUUGAGGCUCUGAAAUUAGCUGACCAUAUUAUGAUAUUCUCUGAUUUUAAUAAACAAUUUGAGGUGGAGAUUGAUGCAUGUACGUAUAUUUAUUCAAGAGAGACAUCACAUAUCAUUUUAUAGUUGCAAAAUCUCUGAAAAGUUAUAUUGAUGGCAAUCUUUGUUUACACAAGUAAAGGAAAUGUAUGUCAUAAUCCAAGAAGUUAGAAAAUGAAGACAUUACCUUCUGGGAUCAUACUUUAUAAUAAGAACAUAUCAUAGAAGUUUGAAAAUUUUGUUAAUUCAAAUAAUUCAAAACCCCGAGCAACAAGUGUUUUUGCGUACUUUUGGAAUUUGAUUUUUCUAUCAUUUAUAAGUCUGAGAAGGAUAACGAAGUGGUCGAUGCAUUUUUCAGGUCAUUUGAAGAGCAGAAGGAAGAAAUCAUUUGAUAAAAUAUUCUUAUUUCAGUGUUUUACAUACUAAUUUAGGGGUUGCGAUGGUAUCUGAAUUAUUUAUUUCAACUAUGGUAAAGCUGCAUGGUAUUCCUAAUUCUAUAAUGUUUGACAUGGAUAGCAUUUUUACUUUCAAGUUAUGGAAGGAACUCUACAAACCUAUCACCCAUAGAGUGAUGGGCAAAUAAAGGUUUUGAAUAGAAGUCUAGAGAUGUAUAUAUUUUAGGUCAUUAUGCGAUGAGGACCCCAAGCAACGACUCAGUCUACUUCCAUGGACUGAACUUUCAUAUAACAUCGGUUUCCACUUAUCACUGGACAUGACUCCUUACGAGGCUCUUUAUGGGAGAGAAGUAUUAAACAUCCCUGAUUAUACUGAGGGAAGUUCUAAUAUUGAGGCAGUGGAUAUAAAUCUGCAAAUAAGAAAAGAAUAAUUGAAACUGAAAAAAGAAUAUUUGGAGAGAUCGAUCUCAAUCAAAGAUGAAAACAACAGCUGAUUAACACAAAAGUGAUGUGGAAUUUGAGGAAAGGCAGUGGGUAUUAGUUAAACUUACUGCUUAUAGACAAUUAUCAGUAGCAAACAGAAUGCACAAUAUAUAAAUUAUGCCAGAGGUAUUUUGAUCCUUACAUGACCGAGAGAAAAAUAAAUCAAGUAGCCUAAAAACUCAAAUUACCUGUAGGUAGCUUAAUCCGCAGUGUAUUCCACAUCUCCAAACUGAAGAGAUUCGUAGGAUCAGUGCAAGCAAAUAUUUCUGCCGAUCGACCAUCCUUUGCUUGCAAUUAAAAAAAUUAACUGAUUAUUUAUCCAUUAGCAAUAAUUGAUAAACAUCAUGUUCAUGUGGGACAAAAACAUAUAAAUCAAGUACUUGUGCAAUGAUUGGUAGCCAUGAUGGAACACGCAUCAUAGGAGGAUCCAAUAGCAAUGCAGCGUAUGUUCUCAUCAAUCGAUCUUGAGGAUAAAUUGGAAAUUGAGAAAGCGGAUCAUGAUACGAUUGGUGCUGAAGUAAAAGAAAUGACAAGAGACUUGAAGGCAUUUACUAAAGUGAUCAGAGAAACACCAUCGAACGAGGAGAAAUUGACUGACUGGUAUUGUUUUUAAAUUAGCAGACCCCGAUAUUAUUACGACACACAUCAGGUGUGCCAAAGCUCAUUUGCGCUAAAUGCGCCAUCUCGCUUCGCCCGUCUGAUUUACCUAUAUUGUUGUACGCCGUUCGUACAAAAUUCACUGACACGUUUUAGUAUCACUUACCGUUCUGACAUGUUUUAUUUGAAGUUGGAAAAAUGAUUUGUUGGGUGGUAAUUCAGUAAAUAGUAUCGGUAGUUCAGUAAAUAGCAUCGGUAGUUCAGUGUAUGAACUAUAAGUCAUUAAUUGUAUGAACUAUAAAAAUUAAAAUUACUACUAAUAAAAAUAAGGAACAGUAACAUAAAAAAACGUUAAAACAUAAUCUAUUUGACAAUGUGGGAAAGACAAAAUAAAUGUAUGUCUACAUAAGUAGACUAAUUUCAACACUAUUCCAACCACAAUAUACACAUAACACUAUUUGAACGACCAAUUAAAAAAUUACAAAAUAACGAACUUAUAAAACAAGAUUUGGUGAAUAGUUAUAUGAUCAUGACUUGCGGUCAGUUUAUUGUCGCCCUGCCUCGAGAUCGUCGUCGUGAGUAAUUCAAUCAAAAAGUAAUCAGUAGGACGGACUGGUGACCAUUAAAUUAGAUAUACUUACAUGACAAUCAUUCAGCGCAAAUAUGCAGUGACGCAUCAUAUAUAAACUGUUUUUAAAUUAGCAGACUCCGAUAAUAUUAUAAAUUUCUCGUUAAAUACCAACAAUUGCGACGAUGAACCUCCAUUACUGUACAUCGAUUUUUUUUUAAACUCCUUUUAUAAGAGAAAUUUUUGAAUGAUAUAUUAUUAGAUAAAUUCAAAUUGAGUACAUGCACAUCAAGAUAAAAUUAAUUAUAAUUGUAUAUACAAACUUUUAUUAUUAUAAAACCAUUUUGAACUAUCUUAAUUUUGAGUUAUAAUAGAAAUAAAGGCAUAUAAUAAUACAUUUUGAGUUAUGCACAUUAAUAAUAUUGAGAAGGCAAAGACUGACAUAUGGUCAUAGUGAUGGUGCACAUUUGUUCGAAUUUUUUGUUUAAUUUCAAAAAUAUUUCUUUCUGCCCAUGAUGGUCAUUUUCCACAGCAUCAUGCGAAUUUAGACUGGUCUCAACCUUUUUAAUCUGAGUUUGGGCAAAUUCAAGAGUUGCAAUGAUUUCUGUACGAUUGUGUUUUCCCUCAGAGAUGAUUUUUUCUAGCUUCUUGAUGAUUACUGUAUAACAUUCAAUGAAAUCACAUUUUGUAUGAUUAUGGAACACUUUAUUAUGUCUCUCCAGAAAAUCCGAGGCCAUGGUCUUCAUGAUUGAGAUAGCGAUUUGGGAAACUUGGGUUAUGUUCGUGGCAUCUUUGGAUAAAGGGGAGGAUUCAAAUGCCUCCAUGCACACAUUGAAAUAUUGAGUUUUCUUGCAUGUUUCCUUGAUGAACGGGUUUUCAACUUUAGCCGGCUCAUCAUAUUGCAAAUUUGAAUACCCAUAUGAGAGUUGGGUGGCGAGGAGAAGGGAGAAGACGAUGAAAAGGAUGGUAAGAAAAUUACAUUUGAAAGAAGCCAUUGUAUUAUGCUAUGUGCUGAUGUGUUGAUGGAU